rnacentral:rRNA from 1 species
GAGGCACUACGGUGCUGAAGCAACAAAUGCCCUGCUUCCAGGAAAAGCCUCUAAGCAUCAGGUAACAUCAAAUCGUACCCCAAACCGACACAGGUGGUCAGGUAGAGAAUACCAAGGCGCUUGAGAGAACUCGGGUGAAGGAACUAGGCAAAAUGGUGCCGUAACUUCGGGAGAAGGCACGCUGAUAUGUAGGUGAAGUCCCUCGCGGAUGGAGCUGAAAUCAGUCGAAGAUACCAGCUGGCUGCAACUGUUUAUUAAAAACACAGCACUGUGCAAACACGAAAGUGGACGUAUACGGUGUGACGCCUGCCCGGUGCCGGAAGGUUAAUUGAUGGGGUCAGCGCAAGCGAAGCUCUUGAUCGAAGCCCCGGUAAACGGCGGCCGUAACUAUAACGGUCCUAAGGUAGCGAAAUUCCUUGUCGGGUAAGUUCCGACCUGCACGAAUGGCGUAAUGAUGGCCAGGCUGUCUCCACCCGAGACUCAGUGAAAUUGAACUCGCUGUGAAGAUGCAGUGUACCCGCGGCAAGACGGAAAGACCCCGUGAACCUUUACUAUAGCUUGACACUGAACAUUGAGCCUUGAUGUGUAGGAUAGGUGGGAGGCUUUGAAGUGUGGACGCCAGUCUGCAUGGAGCCGACCUUGAAAUACCACCCUUUAAUGUUUGAUGUUCUAACGUGGACCCGUGAUCCGGGUUGCGGACAGUGUCUGGUGGGUAGUUUGACUGGGGCGGUCUCCUCCUAAAGAGUAACGGAGGAGCACGAAGGUUGGCUAAUCCUGGUCGGACAUCAGGAGGUUAGUGCAAUGGCAUAAGCCAGCUUGACUGCGAGCGUGACGGCGCGAGCAGGUGCGAAAGCAGGUCAUAGUGAUCCGGUGGUUCUGAAUGGAAGGGCCAUCGCUCAACGGAUAAAAGGUACUCCGGGGAUAACAGGCUGAUACCGCCCAAGAGUUCAUAUCGACGGCGGUGUUUGGCACCUCGAUGUCGGCUCAUCACAUCCUGGGGCUGAAGUAGGUCCCAAGGGUAUGGCUGUUCGCCAUUUAAAGUGGUACGCGAGCUGGGUUUAGAACGUCGUGAGACAGUUCGGUCCCUAUCUGCCGUGGGCGCUGGAGAACUGAGGGGGGCUGCUCCUAGUACGAGAGGACCGGAGUGGACGCAUCACUGGUGUUCGGGUUGUCAUGCCAAUGGCACUGCCCGGUAGCUAAAUGCGGAAGAGAUAAGUGCUGAAAGCAUCUAAGCACGAAACUUGCCCCGAGAUGAGUUCUCCCUGACCCUUUAAGGGUCCUGAAGGAACGUUGAAGACGACGACGUUGAUAGGCCGGGUGUGUAAGCGCAGCGAUGCGUUGAGCUAACCGGUACUAAUGAACCGUGAGGCUUAACCUUACAACGCCGAAGGUGUUU